GAUGAACGCUAGCGGGAGGCCUAACACAUGCAAGCCGAGCGGUAUUGUUUCUUUGGCAAUGAGAGAGCGGCGUACGGGUGCGUAACACGUGUGCAACCUGCCUUUAUCUGGGGGAUAGCCUUUCGAAAGGAAGAUUAAUACUCCAUAAUAUAUUGAACGGCAUCGUUUAAUAUUGAAAGCUCCGGCGGAUAGAGAUGGGCACGCGCAAGAUUAGCUAGUUGGUGAGGUAACGGCUCACCAAGGCGAUGAUCUUUAGGGGGCCUGAGAGGGUGAUCCCCCACACUGGUACUGAGACACGGACCAGACUCCUACGGGAGGCAGCAGUGAGGAAUAUUGGUCAAUGGGUGCAAGCCUGAACCAGCCAUCCCGCGUGAAGGACGACUGCCCUAUGGGUGGUAAACUUCUUUUGUAUAGGGAUAAACCUACCCUCGAGAGGGUAGCUGAAGGUACUAUACGAAUAAGCACCGGCUAACUCCGUG
rnacentral:rRNA from 1 species